GUAGUCCACGCCGUAAACGGUGCGCACUAGGUGUCGGGGGUAUUCACCCCUCCGGUGCCGAAGCUAACGUACUAAGUGCGCCGCCUGGGAAGUACGGCCGCAAGGCUAAAACUCAAAGGGAUUGACGGGGGCCCGCACAAGCGGUGGAGCAUGUGGUUCAAUUCGAUGCAACGCGAAGAACCUUACCUGGUCUUGACAUCUCGGGAAUCUCCCUGAAAAGGGAGAGUGCCUUCGGGAGCCCGAUGACAGGUGCUGCAUGGCUGUCGUCAGCUCGUGUCGUGAGAUGUUGGGUUAAGUCCCGCAACGAGCGCAACCCUUGUCUCUAGUUGCCAGCGGUUCGGCCGGGCACUCUAGAGAGACUGCCGGUGUCAAACCGGAGGAAGGUGGGGAUGACGUCAAGUCCUCAUGGCCUUUAUGACCAGGGCUACACACGUGCUACAAUGGCCGGUACAAAGGGCAGCGACGCCGCGAGGCGAAGCAAAUCCCAAAAAGCCGGCCCCAGUACGGAUUGCAGUCUGCAACUCGACUGCAUGAAGUUGGAAUCGCUAGUAAUCGCAGAUCAGCACGCUGCGGUGAAUA
rnacentral:rRNA from 1 species